rnacentral:rRNA from 1 species
CUGGCUCAGGACGAACGCUGGCGGCGUGCUUAACACAUGCAAGUCGAACGGUGAUGUCAGAGCUUGCUCUGGCGGAUCAGUGGCGAACGGGUGAGUAACACGUGAGUAACCUGCCCCCGACUCUGGGAUAACUGCUAGAAAUGGUAGCUAAUACCGGAUAUGACGAUUGGCCGCAUGGUCUGGUCGUGGAAAGAAUUUCGGUUGGGGAUGGACUCGCGGCCUAUCAGGUUGUUGGUGAGGUAAUGGCUCACCAAGCCUACGACGGGUAGCCGGCCUGAGAGGGUGACCGGCCACACUGGGACUGAGACACGGCCCAGACUCCUACGGGAGGCAGCAGUGGGGAAUAUUGCACAAUGGGCGAAAGCCUGAUGCAGCAACGCCGCGUGAGGGAUGACGGCCUUCGGGUUGUAAACCUCUUUUAGUAGGGAAGAAGCGAAAGUGAC